UACAGAGGUCUCAAGCGUUGUUCGGAUUCAUUGGGCGUAAAGGGUGCGUAGGUGGCGGGGUAAGUCAGGUGUGAAAUCUCGAGGCUCAACCUCGAAACUGCACUUGAUACUGCCUUGCUCGAGUACUGGAGAGGAGAUUGGAAUUUACGGUGUAGCAGUGAAAUGCGUAGAUAUCGUAAGGAAGACCAGUGGCGAAGGCGAAUCUCUGGACGACUCCUGACACUGAGGCACGAAAGCUGGGGGAGCAAACAGG
rnacentral:rRNA from 1 species